UAAUAUAUAAGGUAUUUCUUAUCAAUGAAAUCCAUAAAAUAUAUUGUUGCUUUCAAUAUAUUUUAUGGAUUUCAAUGGAAGUUGUAUUGUUGGCCGAACAAGCUGUUGUUGUUUUUUGACUUAUUUCAUGAAAACGAUAUUUAUUUAUGACUCACAGAAUUAUAUACACUGUUUUAAUUUUUUGUGUGUUCCAUGAAACCACGUCGUUUUCCAAAAGAACUAGUAAUAAAUUAAAAGUAUCAAGAAGUCUAAAUGGUGACAAACAAUGUAGCCGAGUGUGUCUGGAUCUUCCCACAGAUGACAAGGAACCAGUUUGUAUGAUAUACAGCAGAUACAAGACUGACUAUUUGUUUUUUGUCAACCUGUGUCACGCCAGACGAUUAAUCUGCCGCGAAAAUAUAGAUAUUCGGAGUGUAUUGUUUCGAGUGUGAGAAUUGCGGAGUGAAGCGGCGAAAUAUUAUACCUUUACACGAAUAUGCAAGCUAUCAGAAGAAAAACUUGGAUUACAGAAGGAAUAAAGACAUCCUUGCCGAGGUAAUGGAUGGUGAGCUUUCAGAACCACAAGUAAAUUAUGAAGGUCGAACAGAUUCUAAAGAAGCAGGAAACGGACAACUUGAGAGACAACAUCGCGACAUUAAAUGGCUUACUAUUCACAGCAAUGAAAUGGGUAUCGCUUAUUAGAGUUUAACUGUCAUGGUGUUUGCAAAUAAAAUAUCUUUCAUUGCUUUAUUUUGAAUUUAUGUUAAAAUUAAAUAUGUCUCAUUUUACUUACUUUAAUGAACUGAAUAAAAAAUACAAG